AUUUGCAUUACCUAAUGCAGUUAAUAUUACCUAAAUUGUUGAACUUAAGCUUUCCUACUUUAAGUGCCUUUAACAGUGUUUUUAUUUGGAAUAUAAAAUGUAAAGGAAAUUUUAUGUAGUUCUGCACAGUUUCUCUUUUAUGAUAUACUUUUUGAGUAAUUUGCAGCAACUUUUUUUUUUAACCUUAGAUUGCACAGAGCAUUAUAUUCAUGGAUUCUUCACUAUUCUGCUAGUGAGUCCUUGAGAAAUCUAAGUUAAAGAUUAGCUCAGUGAGCAGGACACGAGACCAGAUUUAAGAGAAGUUGUGAAAUGUAAGACUUUAUUUGGCCAUGUAAAGAAUGACUUCUGGAAAAACUACCAUCUUCCGUCACCAUCACUUUAUUUUAGAUCCCCUCAAGCUCCCCCCAAACUUAGGAAGGACAUAACUUAGAAUAAAAGAGAGUUACUUAACUUGAAUGACCUUAAAAUUGAUGGAAAAAGUACUACACUGUUCUUUUCUCAUUUGCUCUGGAUCACUGAAAACUUCAUGAAGGAACAGUACCAGUCCAUAGACUGGCCGAUGGAAAGUGCUGUGAUACAGUUGUUCAAAGACCUAAUGUAGUUAUAAAAUUAUUGUUGAUUAGCAGAUGUAAUAAACAGCAUGCAUUCUGA